AACGAACGCUGGCGGCAGGCUUAACACAUGCAAGUCGAGCGCCCCGCCAGGGGAGCGGCAGACGGGUGAGUAACGCGUGGGAAUCUACCCAUCUCUACGGAAUAACGCAUGGAAACGUGUGCUAAUACCGUAUACGCCAUUCGGGAGAAAGAUUUAUCGGAGAUGGAUGAGCCCGCGUUGGAUUAGCUAGUUGGUGGGGUAAAGGCCUACCAAGGCGACGAUCCAUAGCUGGUCUGAGAGGAUGAUCAGCCACACUGGGACUGAGCCACGGCCCAGACUCCUACGGGAGGCAGCAGUGGGGAAUAUUGGACAAUGGGCGCAAGCCUGAUCCAGCCAUGCCGCGUGAGUGAUGAAGGCCCUAGGGUUGUAAAGCUCUUUCACCGGUGAAGAUAAUGACGGUAACCGGAGAAGAAGCCCCGGCUAACUUCGUGCCAGCCGCCGCCGUAACAC
rnacentral:rRNA from 1 species